rfam:Cucumis melo, WGS project CAJI01000000 data, contig: 01765
GUCCCUUCGGUGACAUCCGAUAAAAUUGGAAUGAUAUAGAAAGUAUUAGCAUGGCCGCUGCGCAAGGAUGACACCCACAAAUCGAAUAUGGUAAAUAUAAUU